GAUGAACGCUGGCGGCGUGCCUAAUACAUGCAAGUCGAACGGGGAGUAGCAAUACUCUUAGUGGCGAACGGGUGAGUAACGCGUUGGUACCUGCCCCGAAGCGGGGGAUAACGGACCGAAAGGUCCGCUAAUACCCCAUGUGCUCGGUAACGAGUAAAGGUGAAAACCACUUUGGGAGGGGCCUGCGUCCCAUCAGCUAGUUGGUAAGGUAACGGCUUACCAAGGCGAUGACGGGUAGGGGACCUGAGAGGGUGGCCCCCCACAAUGGAACUGAAACACGGUCCAUACCCCUACGGGUGGCAGCAGUAGGGAAUAUUGGUAAUGGGCGCAAGCCUGAACCAGCAACGCCGCGUGUGCGAUGACGGCCUUCGGGUUGUAAAGCACUUUUGACUGGGACGAGGAAGGACGGUACCGGUCGAAUCAGCCUCGGCUAACUACGUG
rnacentral:rRNA from 1 species